CUUUUCCUGCUCCUGCUUUCUUCGUCAGCUAUCUCUAUCUCUCUCUCUAUUGUUCAAAGCAAUAAUCCAGUUGCUUUUUUCUAAAGCGCUUUUUAUAGUCAUCGCCGAGUCAAUCCAAUUGAAUCCGAUAAUUUCAAGCUAGGGUUCCGAAGUUUGAACCUUUAAUCCGAUUGCCAAAGGUUUUUUCAAUCAACUCAAACUGUUCCUGAGGGAGUUUUUGGGUCAGCUUUCCAGGUUGGUGUAUCGACAUGGUGUUUAUGCUCAACCUUUGGGGAUUAUAUUACAAUUAUCACCAGUGUUAUCCAGCAGUCAAGUUUAGUUGAAUUUUCUACUGUAUAUGGGUUCAAGCCUUUGGGAAUUGUAGUUACAGUUGCCAUUGGUUUUGCAUUGAAACCUACUAUUGCUCUUUUUCUCAGAAAAUCCAGAAAGAAGGCACAGGCUAUCUAGCUUCAUUUACGAUUUAACUACCAAAAGAUUAUUGUUGUUUAUGUACUCUACUAAACUGAAAACAUAUAUCGAUAAUAAAAAUACCCGCAGCAAAGCGCGGGCUAUCUAUCUAGU